rnacentral:lncRNA from 1 species
CUCACCAACAAAUUGGCCAUGGCUACAUUAUGCUCUACUGUUUUCUUGCAACAAAAAAGAUUUGUAUCCCUCCAACAUUGCUAUGUUGGUUGUAGCAAAUGGGUCAUGUAUUUUUUGUUUCCACAAAAUGUUGCCGACCAACCUAGCUGGGUGGAGGAAUUCCUUGCCGAUCAUUUGGCUGGAAAUUGAACGUACCUGAUUAGCAAAGCUAAUCGGUUAUUUGGUGGAGUACGUUUUUUUUUUCUUUUCGGCGCAACUUGACACGUAUGUAGUAUAUCUUAAACAUGCGAGACUUAUCUGUUUCUUGUAUUGGCAUAUCUUAAACAACAUACGCGAUCCUAGUUGGCUUGCAAUGACUGUCAAUGCAAUGGAUGUCCACGUGAAGGUGCGGUGCUUGCAGUAACGUGGAGGUAUUGCCCUAUUGGUGGUUAGCAUAAGUACAACAUGUACCUGAUUUUCGUAGUUGAACAAUUUAUCAAACACAUCAUGGCACACAAAAGGUGCACCAUAGUUCACUUUGUAUCAACUAUGUUUCGAGGAUCUACAUCUUAGAAAUUAUUCGAUCGACUUGAGGUGCAAUUUGGAUCGUGGUUACAAAGAAAACUAAAUCCCUUUCCUUACCCCAAAAGGUCCAUUGUUCCUCG